AUAGUGGAAUGAAAAGGAAAAGGAAGGGGAAAAAACAACGAAGAUUCUCACUGUUAGAACAUUUUAUCCAAAAAAAAAACAAAGUUGGGGAAAGGGGGGAAAGAAGUUUUGAGAAGCAAAAAUCGAAGGGAAACA
rnacentral:ribozyme from 1 species